AAUAGAUACCCGGGUAGUCCACGCCGUAAAACGAUGAGUGCUAAGUGUUAGAGGGCUUCCACCCUUUAGUGCUGCAGCUAACGCAUUAAGCACUCCGCCUGGGGAGUACGGCCGCAAGGCUGAAACUCAAAGGAAUUGACGGGGGCCCGCACAAGCGGUGGAGCAUGUGGUUUAAUUCGAAGCAACGCGAAGAACCUUACCAGGUCUUGACAUCCUUCGCUACCUCUAGAGAUAGAGGGUUCCCCUUCGGGGGACGGAGUGACAGGUGGUGCAUGGUUGUCGUCAGCUCGUGUCGUGAGAUGUUGGGUUAAGUCCCGCAACGAGCGCAACCCUUGACCUUAGUUGCCAGCAUUCAGUUGGGCACUCUAAGGUGACUGCCGGUGACAAACCGGAGGAAGGUGGGGAUGACGUCAAAUCAUCAUGCCCCUUAUGACCUGGGCUACACACGUGCUACAAUGGAUGGUACAAAGGGUCGCGAAACCGCGAGGUGGAGCCAAUCCCAAAAAAACCAUUCUCAGUUCGGAUUGGGGUCUGCAACUCGACCCC
rnacentral:rRNA from 1 species